UGAGGAACUAAGUCUUGGAUUAAGAACUUGAUGGUGGGGCGAGUUUACUGAGAAUCAAGGGACGGAUACAGGAUUUGAAGGUGGCGGUGUGUUCAUUAGAUAACAAGACAGGGGGAAUGUGUUGAAUUUAGCGAGCUUAAGCACCUUGGGAUUGUUCGUCAUUAUUGUUUUGAUACUGGAAGUGUUUCGUGAACAGAGUAUUUUCAUCGCCAGCUGAGGAUAAAAAGAAGUCAAGUAAAUAAAUGAUGUGAUUGAUGUGGGAAAAAAUGAAAAAACUGCACUGUAACUGCAGCGAGAGUUCGAGAUAGCAGUAUUGGGAGCCGAGGAACAAAGAUAUAGCAGUAUUGGGAGCCGAGGAACAAAGAUAUAGCAGUAUUGGGAGCCGAGGAACAAAUAUAUAGCAGUACUGGGAGCC